rnacentral:rRNA from 1 species
UACGUAGGGGGCAAGCGUUGUCCGGAUUUACUGGGCGUAAAGAGCGUGUAGGCGGCCAAGCAGGUCCGUUGUGAAAACUGGAGGCUUAACCUCCAGACGUCGACGGAAACCGCGUGGCUAGAGUCCGGAAGAGGAGAGUGGAAUUCCGGGUGUAGCGGUGGAAUGCGUAGAGAUCCGGAAGAACACCGGUGGCGAAGGCGGCCUGCUGGGCAGUAGCUGACACUGAGGCGCGACAGCGUGGGGAGCAAACAGG